GUUUUAAUAAUUUAAGAAAAAUACUGGUCUUGUAAACCAGAAACGAGUGAUACUCUUAAAACA
rnacentral:tRNA from 1 species